CAGAGUUGCAAAACUCCCAAACCAUUGUGGACGAACCUGACAGUUGCUUCGGCGGGUCGGCCCAGCGCCGCGCGGUGGCUCCUCGCGAGCCCGCCCGCCGGAGUCCCAUAAACUCUUGAUCAGUAUUGGCAUCUCUGAGUAACAUACUUAAUAAGUCA
rnacentral:misc_RNA from 1 species